rnacentral:rRNA from 1 species
UACGUAGGGUGCGAGCGUUGUCCGGAAUUAUUGGGCGUAAAGCGUCCGUAGGUGGCUCUUCAAGUCUGCUGUCAAAGAGUGGGGCUUAACCCUGCAAAGGCAGUGGAAACUGAAAGGCUAGAGAGCCGUAGGGGUAGAGGGAAUUCCCGGUGUAGCGGUGAAAUGCGUAGAGAUCGGGAAGAACAUCGGUGGCGAAAGCGCUCUACUGGGCGGUAUCUGACACUGAGGGACGAAAGCUAGGGGAGCGAAUGGG